CCGAGACGGGCGGAUCACGAGGUCAGGAGAUCAAGACCAUCCUGGCNGCCAGGAUGGUCUCGAUCUCCUGACCUCGUGAUCCGCCCGUCUCGG
rnacentral:pre_miRNA from 1 species